ACACUCUGCUGUCUGUGUUGUUAUUUUAAAAUGCCAGGGAGACUAUUGAAAAAAAAAUAACCUGGAAUAUUACAAGGCGCCCGUGACAGGACAUCAGGAGAUUGCAAGACCUAGGACAACCGAGCAUUGAAAAUAAAGUAUUGGAAAAAUCUGAUUACCUGGUGAAAAUCGAACUGGAGGAACAAAAUAAAAAUAUGGAGGCCAAUGGAAAAAACUGACAUGGUUUACGUAACGGGUAAAAUGGUCGAAUAAUGAAAAGAAAAAAGUUAUUUGAUUUAUACUAGAUUCGUCGGAAAGUAUGUAUCGGAAAGUAUCUAGCCAUGUCCGUAUGAACGCUGAGAUCUCGGAAACUGUAAAAGCAAGAAGAGUAAGAUUUAGAAUGUAGAUUCCUAUUCACCGCAACGGCGACUCUUCGCCAGCCGCUACUAAUACCUAAGUAUAUUCAUAAGCUUUGACCGCUGCCGGCGUCUCUGGCGGCGCAGCUAUACUUUUAUGAGCCGAACAAGAAAUGUAAUAGAGUUAAGAUUCAUUCAAUAAAGAGAGCUCUAAACACUC